rnacentral:rRNA from 1 species
AACGAACGCUGGCGGCAUGCCUAACACAUGCAAGUCGAACGAGACCUUCGGGUCUAGUGGCGCACGGGUGCGUAACGCGUGGGAACCUGCCCUUAGGUUCGGAAUAACUCCCCGAAAGGGGUGCUAAUACCGGAUAAUGUCUUCGGACCAAAGAUUUAUCGCCUUUGGAUGGUCCCGCGUUGGAUUAGCUAGUUGGUAGGGUAAAAGCCUACCAAGGCGACGAUCCAUAGCUGGUCUGAGAGGAUGAUCAGCCACACUGGGACUGAGACACGGCCCAGACUCCUACGGGAGGCAGCAGUGGGGAAUAUUGGACAAUGGGCGAAAGCUUGAUCCAGCAAUGCCGCGUGAGUGAUGAAGGCCUUAGGGUUGUAAAGCUCUUUUACCCGGGAUGAUAAUGACAGUACCGGGAGAAUAAGCUCCGGCUAACUCCGUG